AGCAAAACCUCUCCAGGCCUUGAGAGAAUUAAAAUAAAUGAUCCCUUCUUGCUUAUUCUUACCAUUAAAAAUGUGUCUUUCUUUGCAACUGUUAUGGAAAUCAAUUAUUUAAAAAUUAAGUUACAAAAUCGCACUUCAGUUUUAUAAUCUAGAUGUUCAUUUCUUUAAAAAAAAGUAAAGAUUUCUCACAUGUCACUAGAAUUGCUAAACAAUUACCAACCCCAGUGCUUCUCUGGUUGCAUGUUAGGAUCAAUAUGUGGGGAGGCUUUUUAAAUCACUUAAAACAAUGGCAACAACUCCGUCUCCCUCCUUCUUCCCCAAAAAGAACAGCGGCUGAGGGAAUGAGAACUGUCGAUGUCAUCUUCACAGGCCUGUCUGUCUUCAGGAGCAGAAGGAAGACAAAGAAGUAUGGGCAGAGAAGACCAGAAAGUUGCUAAACAACACUGAAAUCUUAACUGGAAUCCAAAGCAAAAAAGGGAUAGAGUCAGAUACAAAGUCUAUGCUAUCAAUAAACAAUGAAAAACCACAUCAUUUUCGCUGGAGCUUUCCUAGACUUUCAAAUUUAAGUGACAUUCUACAAAAUUGUCCAACUUGCUAAACACUUACUUUUGCAUGAGAUACAACAAUUAAAUAAUGAUAUCUGUAUAUCAAUUAAAUGGGAAGCAUACGGGAAAAAUAAUAAUUUUGGCUUUAUGGCCCAACCUGUUCUUUCUGAAAAUAAAUAGACAAUAAAAUUAUCUGUAAAGGCAACUCUUAGAUUAAGACAAUAAAAUAUUUUCAUUUGUA